AUUGAACGCUGGCGGCAGGCCUAACACAUGCAAGUCGAACGGUAACAGGGAUCAGCUUGCUGCUUCGCUGACGAGUGGCGGACGGGUGGGUAAUGUCUGGGAAACUGCCUGAUGGAGGGGGAUAACUACUGGAAACGGUAGCUAAUACCGCAUAACGUCGCAAGACCAAAGAGGGGGACCUUCGGGCCUCUUGCCAUCCGAUGUGCCCAGAUGGGAUUAGCUAGUAGGUGGGGUAACGGCUCACCUAGGCGACGAUCCCUAGCUGGUCUGAGAGGAUGACCAGCCACACUGGAACUGAGACACGGUCCAGACUCCUACGGGAGGCAGCAGUGGGGAAUAUUGCACAAUGGGCGCAAGCCUGAUGCAGCCAUGCCGCGUGUAUGAAGAAGGCCUUCGGGUUGUAAAGUACUUUCAGCGGGGAGGAAGGGAGUAAAGUUAAUACCUUUGCUCAUUGACGUUACCCGCAGAAGAAGCACCGGCUAACUCCGUG
rnacentral:rRNA from 1 species